rnacentral:ncRNA from 2 species
UUAAGUUAGAAGGGGAGCCUAUAUUGAUAAGCUGAGAUAGAAAUGUUAUUUCUGACCCUAAGAACCUGAUUUGGAUAAUGCCAACGAAGGGAUUUAGCUAGGAUAGAUG